rnacentral:rRNA from 1 species
CACGUAGGGCGCGAGCGUUGUCCGGAAUUAUUGGGCGUAAAGCGCGCGCAGGCGGUUUCUUAAGUCUGAUGUGAAAGCCCACGGCUCAACCGUGGAGGGUCAUUGGAAACUGGGGAACUUGAGUGCAGAAGAGAAAAGCGGAAUUCCACGUGUAGCGGUGAAAUGCGUAGAGAUGUGGAGGAACACCAGUGGCGAAGGCGGCUUUUUGGUCUGUAACUGACGCUGAGGCGCGAAAGCGUGGGGAGCAAACAGG